rnacentral:lncRNA from 1 species
AAUGCCCAUAACGCGUCCUGAAAGCUGUCUUCUGGACGUCCUCAUCUCGCACCCUCACCUGAUGAUAUCCCGACCUCAAAUCGAUCUUGGAAAACCAAGAUGCUCCCUGCAACUGAUCAAAUAAAUCGUCGAUCCUCGGCAACGGGUAACGGUUCUUGACCGUCAGCUUGUUCAACUCCCGGUAAUCAAUACACAUCCGGUGUGAACCAUCCUUCUUCUUGACAAACAGAAUAGGUGCUCCCCACGGCGAGCUGCUCGGCCGAAUAAAUCCCUUCCCCAGCAACUCCUGAAGCUGCGAGGAUAACUCUUGCAUCUCUGGAGGUGCAAGACGAUAAGGCACCUUAGCUAUAGGCGCAGCCCCCGGAACCAAAUCAAUACCAAACUCUACUUGCCUCACAGGAGGUACUCCCGGCAGCUCCUCGGGAAAGACAUCUGGAAACUCACAUACCACCGGUACCUCCCCAACUGAACUCGGUCUCUCGGAAGUCGCUCGCGUAUCCAUCACAUACGCCACAAAACCCUUACAGCCCUGCUGUAGACACUGCCUCGCCCUGGCGGCCGAACAAAAGGCUGAUCCCGAACGUGUACCCUCACCGUACACCGAAAGAACUCCCCCACUAGGGUCUCGUAUAGUCACCAGCUGACGCUCACAGUCGAUAAUCGCGCCGAAUCGGCUCAACCAGUCCAUGCCCACAAUGACACAAACAUCACCCAUCGCAAUAGGAAUCAGAUCAAUCGGAAACUCAAUCCCGAAGAUCUCUAACACACAUCCCCGGAAAACCUCUGCGGCACAAAUCACUCUAUCAUCAGCUAUGGAGACUCUCAGAGGCCGACUCAGUGCCUCACGACUAGCACUGAUAUGCUGGCUAAAGGCCAAAGAUACAAAAGACCGACUCGCACCCGAGUCAAAUAACACUAAAGCAGGUACGGAAUUCACAAGAAAAGUACCUACACAUAACAUAAUAUAAGCAUAACAUCAUAUAUCAAAAUAAAUACACGAAAGGAAACAUACCAGCCACCACAUCGGGCGCGGCGCGGACCUCCUCCGCAGUCAACUGGAAAGCUCUCCCUCGAGCUCUCGGCGUCUCGGCCUUCACAGGCCGACUCUCUGUAACUCUGGUGGCGGCAGGAGCAGACCCCUGAGAUGCUCCGCGCAACUGCGGACACUCGGCCUUCCGGUGUCCAGUCUGGUUGCAGUGAAAGCACACUGCAAACCCCUUGGGGCAGUCCUUGGCCAUGUGCCCCUCCUUACCACAUUUGUAGCAAGACCCUGCUCGGCAGACUCCGUCAUGACCCUUGCCGCACUUUCCGCAAGUGCGGCCCUUCUGGCUCCCUGGUCUGGGAUCAGCAGGCUUGGCCCGCUUGGCGGCCGGCUGCGACAACGCCGGUCGCCGAUCCCUCCCCUGAGACUCUGCCUCCUCCCUGGCCUGGGUCUCAAGCUCAAUCUCCCUCUUCCGGGCAUUUGCCUGAAGCUCGGCAAAUGUCCGGUACGAGGAGUUCGCAGCGAACUCCCGAAUAUCCCUCCUCAAGAUGCUCAAGUAGCGGCUCAUACGUGCCUGCUCAGUGGACACGUGCUCAGGGCAGAACAUCGCCCUCUCGUGGAACAUCCUCGUGAUCGCUGUAACAGACUCAGUACCCUGCUUGAGGGUCAGAAACUCCUGUGCUAAACGCUCCCUCUCCACCUGGGGAACGUACUCAUCCCGAAACAUAGUGGUGAACCUCUCCCAGGUCACCGCAGAAAGCUCAGCAGGCGAAUAAUGCGCUGUCACAAACUUCCACCAGUCCUUCGCUCCCAAGCGAAGCUGGUUCAGCGCGAACCGUACCUUCAAAUGCUCAGGAGACGAGCAAGUGAAGAAACACCCCUCAAUAUCAGAUAUCCACCUCAUAGCUGCCACCGGAUCCUGAGUACCAUCAAACUCUGGUGGUUUUGUGUUGCUGAACUCACGGAACAGCAACGCAUCCCCACCCUGCGGCCUCGCAGCAGCAAUCGCUGCGGUAGCUGCUGCAGCAGCAGCCUCAGAAAGAGCGGCAUAACGCUCAUCAAACGUCUCAAUCAAUGUGGUCUUUAUAGACCCAAACAUCUCCGGUAUCUCUGCCCUGAUGGCCGCAGCCACCUCCUCCUGAAUGAUCCGGCGGAUCUCCUCCUCACUGGUACCACUGCUCUCGGGCAUCAAACGUGUCCUCACCAUGAUCUACCUCUGAAAUACAACAUACGAUAAAUUAGAAUCCACACGAGUAUGCUCACACUCGACAACUCUUUUCUCCUUGAUUCUUGGCAUUCCAAAGAUUCUGACUUGGGCUGCACACCGCUCCGGUGCUUCCAGUAGUACGGGCCCAAUACUACUGUCCGCACCGCACCAGAAUACACUCCAAGUCCUUCUCUUUGGAUCCCAGGUCUCAAGUACUUUAUCAUGCAUAGACUACUCUCUAAUAGAUCUCUCAUAAGUCCCUUGCUGCUACCUACUCACUCUCAAGCAUCUCAUAGCAGCUCACCUCUCCCUAGGCUAAGGCAUCACACAUCAGGCCACUCUAGUCCUAAUAGCAAUACCUAGCCUACUCUAGCAUGCGGAUACAUCAUAUCAAUAUCAAUAUCACAUAAUAUAUAAAGGUAUUUUGGGAAAUCACCGUUCGGGCGCUGACUGAUCGUACACACAUCUCUUGCUCUGCGUUUUUCGAAAAUCUUUUACUCUUUUUGAAAAUACAUCUCAAAUCCUCAGUUUGAGUUCAAAUACGCCCGAAGGUGUACUCGAAUCCCUCAAACCAAGGCUCUGAUACCAACUUGUAACACCGAAAAUUUUAAAAUUUAUUUUUCACAAUUUAUAAAAACAUUUCUCUUUUAAUUUCAUAAAACAUCAAGUUUCAAAUUCCAAUAUGUAUCAUACAAAUCCCAAGAUCACAUAAUUAUAUCGAAUUCCUCUACGUGUGUACAGAUCAAGCCGGCGCCUUCCCACGGUCAUCGCUAGUACCUGAAACAACAACACUAACACUGUAAGCACAAAGCUUAGUGAGUUCCCCAAAAUACCACACAUAAAACACAUAUUAGCCACUCGAGGCCAUAACUCUAUGGGUCCGUGCACCCAACUCUGUGAACCCUCAGGUUCUAACUCUAUGAACCUUCCGGUUCCAACUCUAUAAACAUGCACAGCAUAGAUCACAUAGAAAUAAUGCAGUACAACACAUAACAUACACAUAACAUACAUACACUAACACAUAACUCUGAUUACCGACUCAAGGUAAAGUAUAGUGAGAAGACUCACCUCGCGUGUCUCGGUAUCUCACGAUCCCUGGAAAUCCCUCGUGCUCGAUCCUCCGAGCUCUAAUCCUCCUAUAACAUCACAAGACUCUAAUUAACACUUUUAUCUCUAAGGUUGACUAUCCCUAAGAAGUCAACACAGGUCAACGGUCAACGGUCAACUUUGACCGGACUCGGCGAGUGCACGCGGCAACUCGGCGAGUCUAGACGUUCUCACCAACUCUCUAGGAUUCCCUUUCUACACGUCGAGUACUCCCCCUGACUCGACGAGUUCCACCUGGAAGAAUCGCGGGACCACCCCGACUCAACUCGCCGAGUCUCAAGAACGACUCGGCGAGUCCUAGCUCGACUCAGACCACAUGACAAUCCUCUCUAACUCGCCCUGACUCACUGGGUCAACUCCUGACUCGUCUGGACCACUCACUGGCCGGUCCAAGGCAAUCUUCAAGCUACUCGCCGAGUCUGCUCAUCGGACUCGGCGAGUCCAUUCCAUGCAAUCACUCAAACUUGCUUCUAAGGUCAGAUCUACUCCAACAAUUCAUAGAUCUGGCCCUCCUAGACUGAUUCAUCACGUAAAGUCCUAGUCUUGAUGCAUUAACAACCUCUAUAUGACUAAUUAUGAAGAAUCUUCAACAAAUCUCACUACACAAGGUCAUGACCUCCAUUGUUCUCUAUAAAGCUUGAAGAAUGAGACUCUCUGGACCUCUAUGGAUCCAGAUCCGAAGUCUCAUCACUAGCAUGGGACUAUUUGGCCAUCAAAUCAACUCAACAAGGCCACAAGAAACCCUAAAAUCGGUUAUACUUCACAAAACAGGAGAUGAGUCGAAAUUAUACCUUUAGAUUGAAGGGUCAAGCUUCCAAUCCACCAAAUAGCAGUCCCCUUUGCCUCCUCUUGGCUAGAGCCUCCUUCUUCUUUGCUAAACAACACACAAAUGUCAAGAAAUGCCUCCUUUCACUCUCAAAUCGCUAAAGCACUUUUAGGGUUUCUCUCUAUGGACUGAUGGAUGCAAAUGACGGCCAUAAGGCCAUUUAAAUAGGUCCCAAACCCGAGAAAUUAGGGUUUCAUUAAACAGCGUGGACUCGCCGAGUCCAUAUCCUGGACUCGCCGAGUCCGAACGAAUCCCGCGUCCAGAAUCGCGACCCUACUCGGCGAGUCUGAGCUCCAACUCGCCGAGUCCCUUCUCAAAACUCAAAAUAUUAAAACAAUAAAAUACCUGGAGAUCCGGGCUGUUACAAUUCUCCCCCACUAGGAUUAGACUUCGCCCUCGAAGUCUCGCUCUAAAAUAGCUCCGGAUGCUGAGCCCGCAUCUCGCGCUCCGGCUCCCAGGUCAUCUCUGAUCCCUUCCGGUGUUGCCACUGAACCAACACCAAAGGUACCUCCUUGUUCCUCAGAACCUUGAUCUUCCGAUCUCUGAUGGCUACUGGUCUCUCGGCGUAAUUCAGGCUCGCAUCUACCUGAAUAUCCUCUAAUGGAACUACUGCCGACUCAUCGGCAAUACAUUUCCUCAAUUGCGACACAUGAAAAGUGUCGUGGAUUUGCCCCAACUCUGCUGGCAAUUCCAAACGAUAGGCUACCCGGCCUACCCUCGCAAUCACGCGAAAUGGCCCAAUAUACCGGGGCCCCAACUUGCCCCUCUUCCUGAAUCGAAUCACCCCUUUCCAAGGAGAGACCUUCAGGAGAACGAAGUCACCGACCUGAAACUCAAGCUCGGACCGGCGUCUGUCUGCAUAACUCUUCUGUCGACUCUGGGCGGUCAACAACCUCUGUCUGACCUGCUGAAUCUGCUCUGUCGUCUGAAGCACGAUCUCGGUACUGCCCAUCACUCUCUGCCCGACCUCUCCCCAGCAAAUGGGGGUCCGACACCUCCUACCAUACAACAGCUCAAAGGGUGGCAUACCAAUGCUCGAAUGAUGGCUGUUGUUGUAGGAAAACUCUGCCAAGGGUAGAUACGCAUCCCAGCUACCCCCAAAAUCCAACACACAUGCUCGAAGCAUGUCCUCAAGCGUCUGAAUCGUCCGCUCACUCUGACCGUCUGUCUGGGGAUGAUAUGCGGUACUAAAAUGCAAUCUAGUACCCAACUCCUCAUGAAAUUUCUUCCAGAAUCUGGAAGUAAAGCGCACAUCACGGUCUGAAACAAUCGAGAUCGGCACCCCAUGCCGAGAUACCACUUCUCUCACAUAUAACUCUGCCAACUUCUCUGCUGAAGAACUCUCACUGAUGGCAAGGAAGUGAGCGCUCUUCGUCAACCUAUCCACAAUCACCCAAAUUGCAUCAACUCCCCUGGCAGUUCUCGGCAAUUUGGUGAUGAAAUCCAUAGUGAUCUGUUCCCAUUUCCAUUCGGGAACCUCCAAUGGCUGCAACUUGCCAUGCGGUCUCUGGUGCUCGGCCUUAACCCUACGGCAGGUCAAGCACCUCUCAACGAACCACGCGACGUCCCUCUUCAUACAGGGCCACCAAUACUCUCUCCUCAAAUCCAAAUACAUCUUCGUAGCCCCCGGAUGGAUCGAAAAUUUCGACCGAUGAGCCUCCUCCAUCAAGGAAGUGCGCGUACCACCCACGAACGGUACCCAAAUCCGACCCUGAAAAGUCAUAAGCCCUCGCCCAUCCGUAACGAAUUCUGAAACCAAACCAACGACCCGUUCCCUCUUCUGCAUCUCCGGCUGCACAGCCUCGGCCUGUGCCCCACGAAUGGCAUCCAAUACCGGAGCUAUCAUGGUCAAUCUCAAACAUACAUCUCGCAAUGGAGUGCUCUCCGCCCUGCGGCUCAACGCAUCGGCUACCACAUUAGCCUUGCCUGGGUGGUACAGGAUCUCACAAUCAUAAUCCUUGACCACAUCCAACCACCUUCUCCGUCGCAUAUUUAGGUUGGGCUGAUCCAUCAAGUACCUCAAACUCUUAUGGUCCGUGUAUAUCGUACACCGAACCCCAUACGAGUAGUGACGCCAAAUCUUGAGGGCGAACACUACUGCCCCCAACUCUAGAUCAUGGGUGGGAUAUCUCGUCUCAUGAGGCUUCAGCUGCCUCGAUGCAUAUGCUAUCACAUGCCCUCUCUGCAUCAGCACCGCUCCUAGCCCCAAAAUCGAUGCAUCACAAUAUACCACAAAGUCCUCCACCCCUUCCGGGAGGGCUAAUACCGGGGCUUCACACAACCUUUGGCGAAGUGUCUCAAAGGAGGCCUGCUGCUCGGGGCCCCAUGAAAAAGCAACGCCCUUCCGGGUCAAUCUGGUGAGUGGCACUGCGAUCUUGGAGAAAUCCCUGAUAAAUCUCCGAUAAUACCCUCCCACCCCUAGGAAACUACUGAUCUCAGAGGGUGACUUCGGCACCUCCCAACUCAUCACCGCCUCAACUUUGGCCGGAUCGACCAAUAUCCCUUCCUAGUUAACAAGAUGUCCUAAGAACUGGACCUCCUGCACCAGAAAUCACACUAGGAGAAUUUUGCAUAAAGCUUCUUUGAUCUCAGAACCCCAAGGGCCUCCCUCAAAUACUCCUCAUGUUGCUCUCUAGAUCUCGAAUAUACCAGAAUGUCAUCGAUAAAUACAAUCACCGAACGAUCCAACAUCAGCCUACAUACUCGGUUCAUGAGAUCCAUGAACACUGCCGGGGCAUUGGUGAGCCCAAAAGGCAUCACCACAAACUCAUAAUGCCCAUAACGCGUCCUGAACGCUGUCUUCUGGACGUCCUCAUCCCGCACUCUCACCUGAUGAUAUCCAGACCUCAAAUCGAUCUUGGAGAACCAAGAUGCUCCCUGCAACUGAUCGAACAAAUCGUCGAUCCUCGGUAACGGGUAACGGUUCUUGACCGUCAGCUUGUUCAACUCCCGGUAAUCAAUGCACAUCCGGUGUGAACCAUCCUUCUUCUUGACGAACAGGAUAGGCGCUCCCCACGGCGAGCUGCUCGGCCGAAUAAAUCCCUUCCCCAGCAACUCCUGAAGCUGCGAGGAUAACUCUUGCAUCUCUGGAGGUGCAAGGCGAUAAGGCACCUUAGCGAUAGGAACG